UCGGUUCUGAGGGUCGGUCAAAGGCUCCGGGAAUGUAUCUACCCACGGGUAGACUUAUAGACCGGGGUGUCAUGCGGCCUCUCGGGACCGAGGAACGCGCUUCGGCUCGGAUGUUGGCGUAAUGGUUGUCAGCGACCCGUCUUGAAACACGGACCAAAGUAUUUCUCUCUCGCUUCUUGUAGUGGUUAUAGUUGCUAGCCAUAAAACACCCCCUAUUUUAAUGGUUGACCUCGGAUUAGGUAGGAAUACCCGCUGAACUUAAGCAUAUCAAUAAGCGGAGGAAAAGAAACCAACAGGGAUUGCCCUAGUAACGGCGAGUGAAGCGGCAACAGCUCAAAUUUGAAAUCUGGCCUUCGGGUCCGAAUUGUAAUUUGUAGAGGAUGCUUUGGGUGCGGUACCUUCCGAGUUCCCUGGAACGGGACGCCGGAGAGGGUGAGAGCCCCGUACGGUUGGAUACCAAGCCUAUGUAUAGCUCCUUCGACGAGUCGAGUAGUUUGGGAAUGCUGCUCUAAAUGGGAGGUAAAUUUCUUCUAAAGCUAAAUACCGGCCAGAGACCGAUAGCGCACAAGUAGAGUGAUCGAAAGAUGAAAAGCACUUUGAAAAGAGGGUUAAAUAGCACGUGAAAUUGUUGAAAGGGAAGCGUUUGCGACCAGACCUUUUCCAGGCGGAUCAUCCGGUGUUCUCACCGGUGCACUUCGCCUGGUUUAGGCCAGCAUCGGUUUUCUUA
rnacentral:rRNA from 1 species